rnacentral:rRNA from 1 species
CCUACGGGAGGCAGCAGUGGGGGAUAUUGCACAAUGGGGGAAACCCUGAUGCAGCGACGCCGCGUGGGUGAAGAAGCGCCUCGGCGCGUAAAGCCCUGUCAGCAGGGAAGAAAAUGACGGUACCUGAGGAAGAAGCCCCGGCUAACUACGUGCCAGCAGCCGCGGUCAUACGUAGGGGGCAAGCGUUAUCCGGAUUUACUGGGGGUAAAGGGGGCGCAGACGGCGAUGCAAGCCAGGAGUGAAAGCCCGGGGCCCAACCCCGGGACUGCUCUUGGAAAUGGGUGGCUAGAGUGCAGGAGGGGCAGGCGGAAUUCCUGGUGUAGCGGUGAAAUGCGUAGAUAUCAGGAGGAACCCCGGUGGCGAAGGCGGCCUGCUGGACUGCAACUGACGUUGAGGCCCGAAAGCGUGGGUAGCAAACAGGAUUAGAUACCCCUGUAGUC